rnacentral:rRNA from 1 species
UACGGAGGGAGCUAGCGUUGUUCGGAAUUACUGGGCGUAAAGCGCACGUAGGCGGCUUUGUAAGUUAGAGGUGAAAGCCCGGGGCUCAACCCCGGAAUUGCCUUUAAGACUGCAUCGCUUGAAUCCGGGAGAGGUGAGUGGAAUUCCGAGUGUAGAGGUGAAAUUCGUAGAUAUUCGGAAGAACACCAGUGGCGAAGGCGGCUCACUGGCCCGUAACUGACGCUGAGGUGACGAAAGCGUGGGGAGCAA